UACGUAGGGGCCUAGCGUUGUCCGGAUUUAUUGGGCGUAAAGAGCUCGUAGGCGGUUCGGUAAGUCAGGUGUGAAAUCUCCACGCUCAACGUGGAGGCGCCACCUGAAACUGCCGUGACUCGAGUCCGGUAGGGGAGUGUGGAAUUCCUGGUGUAGCGGUGAAAUGCGUAGAUAUCUGGAGGAACACCGGUGGCGAAGGCGGCAUUCUGGACCAUAACUGACACUGAGAGACGAAAGCCAGGGGAGCAAACGGG
rnacentral:rRNA from 1 species